UUGUCUCAAAGAUUAAGCCAUGCAUGUCUCAGUACAAGCCAAAUUAAGGUGAAACCGCGAAAGGCUCAUUAAAUCAGUUAUGGUUCCUUAGAUCGUACCCACAUUUACUUGGAUAACUGUGGUAAUUCUAGAGCUAAUACAUGCAAACAGAGCUCCAACCGGAAACGGAAGGAGCGCUUUUAUUAGAUCAAAACCAAUCGGUGGCGGUCUCCGUCAUCGUACAACUUGGUGACUCUGAAUAACUUUACGCUGAUCGCACGGUCUCGCACCGGCGACGCAUCUUUCAAAUGUCUGCCUUAUCAACUGUCGAUGGUAGGUUCUGCGCCUACCAUGGUUGUAACGGGUAACGGGGAAUCAGGGUUCGAUUCCGGAGAGGGAGCCUGAGAAACGGCUACCACAUCCAAGGAAGGCAGCAGGCGCGCAAAUUACCCACUCCCGGCACGGGGAGGUAGUGACGAAAAAUAACGAUACGGGACUCAUCCGAGGCCCCGUAAUCGGAAUGAGUACACUCUAAACCCUUUAACGAGGAUCAAUUGGAGGGCAAGUCUGGUGCCAGCAGCCGCGGUAAUUCCAGCUCCAAUAGCGUAUAUUAAAGUUGUUGCGGUUAAAAAGCUCGUAGUCGAAUCUGUGUCCCGCGCCGCCGGUUCAUCGUUCGCGGUGUUAACUGGCGUGCCGCGGGACGUCCUGCCGGUGGGCUUAGCUCGAGAGGGCGGCCCAACUCAAUCCCGCCGCGGUGCUCUUCAUUGAGUGUCGAGGUGGGCCGGCACGUUUACUUUGAACAAAUUAGAGUGCUUAAAGCAGGCUAAAACUUCGCCUGAAUACUGUGUGCAUGGAAUAAUGGAAUAGGACCUCGGUUCUAUUUUGUUGGUUUUCGGAACCCCGAGGUAAUGAUUAAUAGGAACGGAUGGGGGCAUUCGUAUUGCGACGUUAGAGGUGAAAUUCUUGGAUCGUCGCAAGACGGACAGAAGCGAAAGCAUUUGCCAAAAACGCUUUCAUUGAUCAAGAACGAAAGUUAGAGGUUCGAAGGCGAUCAGAUACCGCCCUAGUUCUAACCAUAAACGAUGCCAGCUAGCGAUCCGCCGACGUUCCUCCGAUGACUCGGCGGGCAGCUUCCGGGAAACCAAAGCUUUUGGGUUCCGGGGGAAGUAUGGUUGCAAAGCUGAAACUUAAAGGAAUUGACGGAAGGGCACCACCAGGAGUGGAGCCUGCGGCUUAAUU
rnacentral:rRNA from 1 species